ACUGACUUGCUUAACAGGUUUGAUGACUUGGCAGUACGUGAACGAUCACCGGGUCCGAGAACAAGAGGACGCAGGCAGAAUUGAGUUUGGGUUCCAUUUCUUUCCUUUUUUUCGCUUUUUUUGAAACAUUGGGGACAAUGUUUCAUUUAAGUGUAGGGGGGAAAACUUUGUUUCAGUUAUGUUUAUUUCCCUUUCAAGUAUGUUAUUU
rnacentral:lncRNA from 1 species